rnacentral:rRNA from 1 species
UAACACCAGCGCCACAAGUGGCAACCGCUUUUAUUGGGCCUAAAGCGUCCGUAGCCGGUUCAGUAAAUUUUCUGUGAAAUCGUUGGGCUUAACCUAACGUCGUGCAGGAAAGACUACUGGACUAGGGACCGGGAGGCGUCAGAGGUAUUCCUGAGGGAGCGGUAAAAUGCUAUAAUCUCAGGAGGACCACCGAUGGCGAAGGCAUCUGACGAGAACGGAUCCGACGGUCAGGGACGAAAGCUAGGGGAGCAAACCGGAUUAGAUACCCGAGUAGUCCUAGCUGUAAACUCUGCGAGCUAGGUGUUACGUAUUCUUCGGGAAUACGUAGUGUCGAAGCGAAGGUGUUAAGCUCGCCGCCUGGGAAUUAUGGUCGCAAGACUG